GAUGAAGAACGUAGCGAAAUGCGAUAAGUAAUGUGAAUUGCAGAAUUCAGUGAAUCAUCGAAUCUUUGAACGCACCUUGCGCUCCUUGGUAUUCCGAGGAGCAUGCCUGUUUGAGUGUCAUGAAAUUCUCAACCUUUUCAGCUUUCUUUGUUGAUCAGGCUUGGAUGUGGGAGUAUGCGGGCUUCUCAGAAGUCGGCUCUCCUGAAAUGCAUUAGCGGGACCUUUGUUGCCUGGCUUCGGUGUGAUAAUUAUCUACGCCAUUGUAGUCAAGCAGCUUAAAAUGAGGUUUCAGCUUCUAACCGUCUCCCCUGAGACAACUUUUUGACAAUUUGACCUCAAAUCAGGUAGGACUACCCGCUGAACUUAAGCAUAUCAAUAAGCGGAGGA
rnacentral:misc_RNA from 1 species